GACGAACGCUGGCGGCGUGCUUAACACAUGCAAGUCGAACGGAAAGGCCCUUCGGGGUACUCGAGUGGCGAACGGGUGAGUAACACGCGGGUGAUCUGCCCUGCACUUUGGGAUAAGCCUGGGAAACUGGGUCUAAUACCGAAUAGGACCACGGCCUUCAUGGGUUGUGGUGGAAAGCUUUUGCGGUGUGGGAUGGGCCCGCGGUCUAUCAGCUUGUUGGUGGGGUAAUGGCCUACCAAGGCGACGACGGGUAGCCGGCCUGAGAGGGUGACCGGCCACACUGGGACUGAGAUACGGCCCAGACUCCUACGGGAGGCAGCAGUGGGGAAUAUUGCACAAUGGGCGCAAGCCUGAUGCAGCGACGCCGCGUGAGGGAUGACGGCCUUCGGGUUGUAAACCUCUUUCAGCAGGGACGAAGCGCAAGUGACGGUACCUGUAGAAGAAGGACCGGCCAACUACGUGCCAGCCGCCGCGGUAACAC
rnacentral:rRNA from 1 species